rnacentral:rRNA from 1 species
CGUAGGGUGCGAGCGUUAAUCGGAAUUACUGGGCGUAAAGCGUGCGCAGGCGGUUUUGUAAGACAGGCGUGAAAUCCCCGGGCUCAACCUGGGAACUGCGCUUGUGACUGCAAGGCUAGAGUACGGCAGAGGGGGGUGGAACUCCACGUGUAGCAGUGAAAUGCGUAGAGAUGUGGAGGAACACCAAUGGCGAAGGCAGCCCCCUGGGUCGAUACUGACGCUCAUGCACGAAAGCGUGGGUAGCAAACAGGAUUAGAUACCCUGGUAGUCCACGCCCUAAACGAUGUCAACUAGGUGUUGGGUGGGUAAAACCAUUUAGUACCGGAGCUAACGCGUGAAGUUGACCGCCUGGGGAGUACGGCCGCAAGGUUA